AUAGAGAAAGGUAGUUCCAUUCCAUUGUUGUUCAAGUGAGGACGCGAAGAGAUCGAUCGGUGGCUCCAUUCCAUCAUUGUUCGAUUGAGGACGCGAAGAGAUAGAUUGGUCGCCCGUUCUAUCGUUGUUCAACAGCAUACAAGCAUUUUCCGAUUCAGGAAAGCUCCAUGCCAGCUUCAAUCGCUUGAGGAUGCUCCAUAUAUCAAUCGAUGAGAGAGGGGAAAUUUUGUUUGACCAAGAGAAGAUAUGUUGACAGCAGCACAGGUAGUCUUCUAAGGCCAUAAUGUAAGUAUACUCUGACAUAAUUGUCUCCCCUCAGCCCCCUUCCCAUUGAUGACUUCAAAUUUUGAUUAUGGAGUUUAGUUUUUGGGAACAUUUUUUUGUGGAAAUAUGCUACUACUGUGCUCAUGUCUAACUUCUAUGUGCAUGAAGGACAAACAAAGACAAAACAAAUUGUUGGUACAGGAAAAGAAUGAGAAAUGGUUUUUGAAUAGCUUGGAAGUUGUCAUUUAGUAGUCUUGAUUCCUCUUUGUGGUAUGAUGAACCCAAUUCAAUAUCACUUGUAGAUACUGUGAUGAAUAUCUACAUCAAGACAAUGACAGAAGAUGGCAAUAAAGAAGUUGUUGCUCAAGCUUGUAUGAACACAACAGACAUCAUCAAGGAAUAUGAAUACAUCAUACAUGGCACUUGAGCCUUAUCAGUAUAAGUGUUUUUUCCCAUGUUUGUCUUGAACAAAAUAUGUUUUCUGAUGUAGGUUUUUGAGUUAUCAGUUAUAUUCAAUUUAUGUUAUCUGAUUCCAGAUAUCCCUAGGUAUUGAGGCAACUUUAAUAUUACCAUGAGAAGAUUUGGUUUGCCAGUAAGCUGAUUCUGAUAGUGAUAUUGAUGACAAUGGUUUUGAACAUGAUGAAGUGCUCAUGGAUGCAAUAUCUGAUCUCCUUCCUGCAUGCAAAAUCCAUGGGACCUCAUUUUAGUUCUGACCUCCUUCCUGCAUCAUGUUGAACAUGAUGAGCCUUUGAUGAAAUUUGCGCUAAGAUUGUUUUAGUGCUGACUAUGAGAAAUGUUUUUUGUUUAUCUUAAACCCUCGAUUUUUCCUUAGUCUCCAAUUGCAUGACCUAUCACCAUUUUGCCAUUGAUGAGUACAGAGAGCUUCACGCUCUCCACAAAAUCAUACCAUGGUGGUUUCCUGUCUUGCAGAAAUUGCCUAGGAAAUGGACUCUCCAAUUGCAGGCUAUGUUGAUGUAAGAAUUUUAUGUGAUAUGGGAAUUAUCUUUCAUCCCUUGCCUUUACAUCUCAGGUUACAUUGAACUUCAAGUGAACAAUUAUAACCUUAUCUUUCAUCCUUCUCUUUCUUGGGAGAGGGUUUCUGCUUUCGCCAAGUGCUCUUUGUUAGUAGGCACCCACUUCUGAUUUGAUUUGAAAUGAAAGCUAGUAGCUAGUUUGUAGGGCUAUAUGUUGGCAUUUACCUUCUUCCCUACCUACUCACUACCUCACUCACCUUCUCCAAAAGUAAUAAUAAAUCAUGCUGUUAAGUAGGCUAAAGAAAAAGAAAAAAAUAAUGUAUGUUUGCUAAGUUUGGUUGACUUUAUUUUUGAGUGGCUUUCACCAUUUUCUUUAAGCUGGAAUUUGUGAAACAUGUCCUUUCUUUAGACAGUGAUGGGUUGGAUGGUUAUGUUUAGGCAAAACCCACCAAGGGAGAAUUACUAAAAUCCUAGAUUUGAUGCAUAUCUGGACUCUUAGUUAACGAAUAGAAAACAAAUGCAAGACUCAGAUAUAGAGAUGGUGUUAAGGAUAUGAAUGUUAAUUGAAACUGCAUUUUUUUGGGACUAAAAGGGUUUAUGGGAAAACGAUUGAAUGUGGUUUAAAUCUUGACCUAGGCAAAACCCACUAAGGGAGAAUUACUGAAAUCCUAGACUUGAUGCAUAUCUGGACUCUUAGUUAACGAGUAGAAAACAAAUGCAAGACUCAGAUAUAGAGAUGGUGUUUGGUUUAGUAAUUAACCAAAGAUAUGAAUGUUAAUUGGAACUGCAUUUUUUUGGGACUAAAAGGGUUUAUGGGAAAACGAUUGAAUGUGGUUUAAAUCUUGACCUGGCAUGUCAUAGAACCAUACUGAGGGGUUAUGUAGACCAUGGACAUAUUGCAUAAGGAAUUUCCUUCUUUUAACAAAUUAAAGAGUCGGUGGAAGCAACUACAUUUAUUCUGAGUACAACUGUUCAUCUUUACAAAUCAGCAAGUGAAGACCUCAAAGCUGGCGGCAUUCUAGAUUCAAUGAAUAGGCUUGGAAUCUCAUUCCUAGAGAACCUUGAAGAAGUUGGAUCAAAGAUAAAAAUCGUGUGAGUUCUUUCUUGUAAGAAUACAAAGAUGAGAGCCAUUAAGCCACUAGAGAUUCAUCAAAAUGUCAAUGGGGAUACAGCAAAUGAAUCUGUGAAUGGAUUAAGGGAAAAGGAAAGCUAAAUUCUUGAUUAGGCAAAACAGGUAUUGGUGCGAUGAGAAUCUUGAUUACACUCUUGCCAGUGAUAAUAAUGGGAAGUAACAGCAGAAGCAAUUGAAAUAUCGGUGUCACCUCUUUCCUACAAUGUCACAUAAAGGUUCAACCAUUAUGUCAAGUGGAUUUGCAUGGGAAGAUGUGUUACAUUAUUCAAGAAAUUGAAUUUUUCUGAAGUCGUUGUAUUUUUUUAUACAUCAAUUGGAUAUUAUAUUUGAAC